rnacentral:misc_RNA from 1 species
AAAGUCGUAACAAGGUUUCCGUAGGUGAACCUGCGGAAGGAUCAUUAAAAAAUCUUCCGAGCCGCAAGGCUCUAUUAUCUUGUGAAACGUCGUUGUAGUCUAUUGUGGGAGUGCAUGCGUAUGUGCGCAAAGUGGCUCGUCCGCUGGUGCUCUGCUGCCGCGUUCUCCCAUAAUAUGUACUACUACUAUUUUGCUUAAACAUAUGUUUUUGACGCUGAGGAAUGUAUCUAUAAUAUACAUAUACAACUUUCAACAGUGGAUCUCUCGGCUCUU